CAAAAAUGUUACAUGGGUGAGUUAAGGGUCUUCCUAUCGCUUUAUAUCCAGAGGCGCAUUUCUCCCAUUACUGAUGACGCUGUGUUUGAGCCCUUAGGUAAGGGCUCUGUGUGGUAAAGGGACUUUUCAUUCCUUUUUAAGAAUCACUAGCAAUCUGAGGUUGAAAGCCUUGCGAGCAGGCAGAUUUCUCCCCUACCGUGGUAGACAGCAGAAGACCACCCCCAUCCCCACAUCCCUAAAGAUGUCCUUGCCCUAAUCCCUGAGAUUUGUGCAUCUGUUAGGUUAGAGGACAGGGAAGGGGAAUGAAGGUGGCAGGUGGAAUUAAGGUUGUUAACCAGCUGACCUGAUUAUAGGGAAGUUAGCCGGGACUAUGCAGGUGAGUGCAGUGUGUAAUCACAAGCGUUUUUAAAAGAGGAAGAUGGUAGGGCGGGGGCGAAGUCGGCAAGAGAUGUGUUUCAGGUAGGAUGAUUGGAGGUAUGAAAUAUGCUUGCUUUGAAGGUAGAAAAAGGGAACAGCACGCCCAAGAAUGCAGCAUCUUCUGGAAGCUGGCCAUGGCCAGGAAACUUUGACCUGUAGGGCUUCCAGAAAGGAACGCAAGCCUGUCGAUACCCUGAUUUUAGCACAGUGGGUCCACAUCUGACUUCUAAUCUACCAAACUAGAAAUUGAGAUUGAUAGAGUGCAAACACGGGAGGAGCAGAGAGAGGGAGAAUCUGAAGAAGGCUCCAGGCUCUGAGCACAGAACCCAACACAAGGCUCCAUGUCAGGAACCGGGCAUUGGUGACCUGAGCCGAAGACGGACACUUAACCAACUGAGCCACCCAGUAGCUCCAGCUCUCCCUGAGGAAUGAAGCUGUGGACUCUGCUUGUGGCAAAGCUCAGUAAGCCCUUAAAAAAUCAGGAAGCAGUCGUCAAUGCUCAAGUUAAAUCUGUAUGGCCAGUAGCAAAGAGCAAACUCCGGACUCGGGUGGCCUAUUACUCAGCUCAACAGUGCCAGCUACCAAGAUGGUUUUGGCCAGUAGUCCCUUUAUGGUUAGACAAGAUGCAUCCAAAUUACUGAUAUCGAAAAACACACCUGCCACCCCAACCAUCUGAAAUAAAAUGUCUAUCCUCCCAUCUCGA